UUUGGCAAAAGUGAUGCUGUGGCAGUGUCUUGCCCAGACUUAUGAUAGUGGGGGCUUCCAUUCCUGUCUUUUGGAACACUUGCCCCUGGAAGUCUGAGCCUUCAUGUAAGAAGUUUGGCUACUCUGCUGGAGAGGCCUCCUGGAGAGUACCCAAGAAUCUACCAAAAGGAGGUGGAGGUUGGCUCACGCAUCAGGCAUGAUUAAGCGAGGUUAGCACUGAGCAUCCACCAUGGAGUCGGCCAGAAGAAGCCUGCGUGACCGGGAACUGCUGAAGCCCUCUUAGUUAUAUCAUAGCCAGUUGAAUUACUGCUGUGUGUGCAUCUUAUUUCUCUAACUGGCUUGUUAUCACCUUUAGGAUAGGGAGCUAUCUUUUGUGUCUCUGCUCAGGUCUAUGAUUUUUUUAUUGUGGAAAGAAUUUUAAAACCGUUAUCUGAUAGUCUAGUAUCACCCCUUAUGGCUCUGUAUAAAUAGCUUACCUUUUAAGCCUGUUUCUUCAUCUGUAAAAUAAAAACAAUAACACUUCCUGGGCUACUAACAAAAUUAAGAGAUACAGCAUUUACAAACAGGCUUCAAAAUUAUAUAUUUGUAUAAAAUUUAAAGCAUUAUUGCUAUAGUUAAUAAUUAAUAAUAGUAGAAAAUAAGUAUUUAAAGAAUGUUGAAUAAAAGGAAAGAAUCCAAUGUUCAAGAUUGUAUUGCUGCUUUAGGGGUCCAAUGAAUGACACACAAGGAAAAUAUCAGGGCCUAGGUUUUUAGCUAGCUGAGAUGCACAUAACAUAGUAGCUACAUGCAAAUAAUCCAUAAUUGGAGUAAUCCCAAAGAAUGCUAGUCAUUAAUUUGAAGUCAUAAGGCAAUGUGCACAGAAGUCAAGUCUUUAUAUAGAGUACAUAGUGAGCAAUUCUCUACAGAUCUUCUUCCUCUAACUCCAGUGUAAUGAUUGAUGCCCUUUCUCGGUAUGAUCCUCUACUGUUAUAAGUAUGUGUUAAGAAAUUUUUCAAAAAUGAUAAAUUC
ensembl:lncRNA